AUGUGCUGGUCGCGGCCCACACACAGCGCCUCGGCCAGGAGGAAGGGCACGGCGAUGGUGCCGCUGAAGCAUGUCAGGUAGUGCUGAGGGGAAAGAUCCACCUUCAAUCUGGACCAUACCGUCUCUUGACAGCCUAUCUAAAGGACAUGGGAGAACGAAGCUCGCUCUCUCUGCCUGCUUGCUUUUGCUCUCACAGGCAAGUUCAUCCCUUCACUGGCAUUAGCGCCUUCUUUGGGAUUCUGGCAGUUGCUGAAGAGCAGCUGAGACCUCCAUGGACUGAACAACUACUGGAUUCUUGGACCUUCCUUUGGUACACAGUCAUUGUUGGACCACCUGGGCCACAACCUGCAAGCCAUUCUAAUAUGCCCUUUCUAGACAGACAGAUAUUCAUGGUGGGAAAGAUCCACCUUCAAUCUGGACCAUACCGUCUCUUGGCAGCCUAUAUAAAGGACAUGGCAUCUACCACCUCCAGACUGCAGGGGAGCCUGCCUGCAGAUGGACUCAUCCCCAGGAACCCUCCUAUAAAAACCCAAGAUCCACACACUAGAUGCACAGUCUCAAGACUGCAGCACCUCGGUUCUUAUUAAAGAACAAGACUUCAAAGGUGCUUGCCCCGAGGAGCUGUCUACCAGGGUCCAGAACAGAAACUCCAAGCGGCUAGGAUUCUAAUGUGAGGGAUAUUCAAUGAAUCUUAGCACACUGAA